AUUGAACGCUGGCGGCAUGCCUUACACAUGCAAGUCGAACGGUAACAGGUCUUCGGAUGCUGACGAGUGGCGAACGGGUGAGUAAUACAUCGGAACGUGCCCGAUCGUGGGGGAUAACGAGGCGAAAGCUUUGCUAAUACCGCAUACGAUCUACGGAUGAAAGCGGGGGAUCUUCGGACCUCGCGCGGCCGGAGCGGCCGAUGGCAGAUUAGGUAGUUGGUGGGAUAAAAGCUUACCAAGCCGACGAUCUGUAGCUGGUCUGAGAGGAUGAUCAGCCACACUGGGACUGAGACACGGCCCAGACUCCUACGGGAGGCAGCAGUGGGGAAUUUUGGACAAUGGGCGAAAGCCUGAUCCAGCCAUGCCGCGUGCAGGAUGAAGGCCUUCGGGUUGUAAACUGCUUUUGUACGGAAAGAAAAGCCUCUUUCUAAUAAAGAGGGGUCAUGACGGUACCGUAAGAAUAAGCACCGGCUAACUACGUG
rnacentral:rRNA from 1 species